GCCGGGGGCGGGGAGGAGGAGGUAGGGGAGUAGUGAAAUGUGAAACUUUAAAAAUGAACACAAAAUUUUAAACCCUGAAAUUCUUUUAGCGGUUUGGUUUUAUUUAUUUCCAUUUGAUCAAAGGCACUAAUGCCCCUUCCUGGAACAAGCAAGAUCAUAACCAAAACGAAAGACCAGUGUGAGCACUGUGAAUACGGCCAAAAGCCAUUUCUCAAAGGGUUUCACAUUUCUAGCUACGUUCGAUAAGCUUGGCAACCUGGUGGGGUGGGUUCGGAGUCAAGCAAACUUUUAUCAGAAGUCCUUUAUUAAAUUAGUGGUUUUUGGUUUUUACUUCCUUGUUCCUUCACUCCAAGGAGAGUCCUUAGAAAGAAGGCAUACUUUGUGCUUGGCAUUUCGAGGAGGAAGUGGGUGUGUGUGUGCAGUCCAAGUGUCUACCGUAUCUGGAGACAAACGGAGAUGGGCUGGAAAUCAGUAUAGAGCGGAGAAGAAAGAGGAGAGAGACUCGGAAAUGAGACCACAGCUGCAGGGCUAGGAUCACAGCAAACCCUUGAAAAGGCAGCUGGAACAUGGAUUGAGUGGCGCCACCAAGCGUCUUCCUGAAGAACUACAUUCAGCAUCAAGCCGCCAUAGCUUUGAACUGUAUCUGUGAACAUCUGUGCUUUAUCUCGAUAUGUUCUGUGCAUCCCUUAUUAAGAUGAAUCUCAAGGGAUAAGAAACAUACCUGUAAUUGAGAGACUGUUCCAGAUUAAAGAAGGCAGAAGACAUAAUGACUGAAUGCCAUGUGUGAGCCAGGACUUGUUUAGAACAUGAGUGAUGAAAUCUGAAUAAAUUCUUCAGAUUAAUUAAUGAUUCCAUGUUAAUGUUAAUUUUAUGAUUUUGAAAAAUGGGACUUUGGAAAUAGAUGGGAAUGUCUGCUUAUUUUGAGAAAAUACAUGAAUAUAUGUAAGAAUAAAGGGACAGCAUUUCUGCAGAAUAUCUCAAACAAUUCAAAAAAGAGGGAGAGAAAAAAAUAACAAAGGUAACAGGAUGGCAUUAGGGAAUUUUGGAGAAGACUAGAAAGAUACUGUUAAUUAUUUGUAUAUUCUUGGAAUUUUUUUUACAAG